rnacentral:rRNA from 1 species
UCCUACGGGGGGCAGCAGUGGGGAAUAUUGCACAGUGGGGGAAACCCUGAUGCAGCGACGCCGCGUGAGUGAAGAAGUAUUUCGGUAUGUAAGGCUCUAUCAGCAGGGAAGAAAAUGACGGUACCUGACUAAGAAGCCCCGGCUAACUACGUGCCAGCAGCCGCGGUAAUACGUAGGGGGCAAGCGUUAUCCGGAUUUACUGCGUGUAAAGGGAGCGUAGACGGCUGCGCAAGUCUGAAGUGAAAGCCCGGGGCUCAACCCCGGGACUGCUUUGGAAACUGUGUAGCUAGAGUGCUGGAGAGGCA